rnacentral:misc_RNA from 1 species
GUAGGUGAACCUGCGGAAGGAUCAUUAAAGAGCGAGGGUCUUUUUACAGGCUCGACCUCCCAACCCUUUGUUUAUCAUACCUAUGUUGCUUCGGCGGACCCGUCCGAAAGGACCGCCGGCGGACUCUUCGGAGUCCGCUGGCCCGCGUCCGUCGAUAGCCCAUCUAAAAACUCUUGAAUAAAUCGUGUAUUACUUCUGAGUCGAAACAAAAAUUAAAAGCAAAACUUUCAACAACGGAUCUCUUGGUUCU